rnacentral:rRNA from 1 species
UGAGGAAUAUUGGACAAUGGUCGCAAGCCUGAUCCAGCCAUGCCGCGUGCGGGAAGAAGGCCUUCGGGUUGUAAACCGCUUUUGUCAGGGAAGAAACGAGUUUCUCUAAUACAGAGACUUAAUGACGGUAUCUGAAGAAUAAGCACCGCCUAACUACGUGCCAGCAGCCGCGGUAAUAUGUAGGGUGCAAGCGUUAAUCGGAAUUACUGUGCGUAAAGCGUGCGCAUGCGGGUAUGCAAGACUGAGGUGAAAUCCCCGGGCUCAACCUGGGGACUGCCUUUGAGACUGCAUAGCGUGAGUACGGGAGAGGGGGGUGGAAUUCCGCGUGUAGCAGUGAAAUGCGUAGAUAUGCGGAGGAACACCGAUGGCGAAGGCAAUCCACUGGACGUGUACUGACGCUCAUGCACGAAAGCGUGGGGAGCAAACA